GACCGCAUAGUAUAUCGGUCAGUACGUGAGAUUCUGAGCUUCAGCGUCAUCUUCUCGCGAGCCCGGUUCGAUUCCGGGUGUGGUCU
rnacentral:tRNA from 1 species